rnacentral:rRNA from 1 species
CCCCUAGAUGUUCUGGGCCGCACGCGCGCUACACUGAACAGUUCAACAAGUCUUAACCUUGGCCGAUAGGUCUGGGUAAUCUUUGAACGCUGUUCGUGAUUGGGAUAGACCUUUGCAAUUAUGGGUCUUCAACGAGGAAUUCCUAGUAAACGCAAGUCAUCAGCUUGCAUUGAUUACGUCCCUGCCCUUUGUACACACCGCCCGUCGCUACUACCGAUUGAAUGGUUUAGUGAGAUCUUCGGAUUGGCGCCACUGUGGCUCAGCAAUGGGCUCGGUGGAUGUCGAGAAGUUGAUCAAACUUGAUCAUUUAGAGGAAGUAAAAGUCGUANCA